CUUGGUCAUUUAGAGGAAGUAAAAGUCGUAACAAGGUUUCCGUAGGUGAACCUGCGGAAGGAUCAUUAUCGAAUAAACUAGGUGGGUUGUUGCUGUCCCUCUCAGGGGAAUUGUGCACGCCCUACCUUUUUUGUUUUUCCACCUGUGCACACACUGUAGGUCUGGAGGGGAAGGGAGGCAACUCCCUGACAUUUCAGGUCCUAUGUCUUUACACAUACACUAUUAAAAGUAACAGAACGAUUCAAUGGGCUCUAAGCCUAUAAACUAUAUACAACUUUCAGCAACGGAUCUCUUGGCUCUCGCAUCGAUGAAGAACGCAGCGAAAUGCGAUAAGUAAUGUGAAUUGCAGAAUUCAGUGAAUCAUCGAAUCUUUGAACGCACCUUGCGCUCGUUGGUAUUCCGACGAGCAUGCCUGUUUGAGUGUCAUUAAAUUCUCAACCUCAUCGCUUUUGUGAUGAUGGCUUGGAAGUGGAGGUUUUUUGCAGGCUGAAAAGUCUGCUCCUCUCAAAUGAAUUAGUGGGUGCCCCGCGCAAACCUAUCUAUUGGUGUGAUAAUUAUCUACGCCGUGGAUCCUUAGGAUUGCUGUAAAAAGGUGUUUGCCCUGCUUCUAACCGUCUUCGGACAACUUGAACCAUUUGACCUCAAAUCAGGUAGGACUACCCGCUGAACUUAAGCAUAUCAAUAAGCGGAGGAAAAGAAACUAACAAGGAUUCCCCUAGUAACUGCGAGUGAAGCGGGAAAAGCUCAAAUUUAAAAUCUGGCAGUCUUUGAUUGUCCGAGUUGUAAUCUAGAGAAGCAUUAUCCGCGCUGGACCGUGUACAAGUCUCCUGGAAUGGAGCGUCAUAGAGGGUGAGAAUCCCGUCUUUGACACGGACUGCCAGGGCUUUGUGAUGUGCUCUCAAAGAGUCGAGUUGUUUGGGAAU
rnacentral:sRNA from 1 species